rnacentral:lncRNA from 1 species
GGAAUCAUAAUCAGGGUUAUAGUUAAUCGUCAUUUGUCUAUUCUAGAAGGGGGUUAAGUGCAACUUAUAAUUCUAUAAAUAAGGAUCAAGAGUCAUUUAGGAGAGGAGGAGAGAUAUUAGUAAGUUAGUUAGUUUUACGAUGGCUUAUUGCUACGUGCAUGAGAAGGGCUUUGCCCUGGGACCACUCAUGGUUGUUAUUGUAGAUCCGUGUGAUCAUAUCUUUCUAUUCAAUACAAUUCGCACUAUUUGAUUUCAUCAUCUUUGUCAUCCGAUUC